rnacentral:rRNA from 1 species
UACGAAGGGUGCAAACGUUGCUCGGAAUUAUUGGGCGUAAAGAGCUCGUAGGCGGUUUGUCGCGUCUGCUGUGAAAUCUGGAGGCUCAACCUCCAGCCUGCAGUGGGUACGGGCAGACUAGAGUGCGGUAGGGGAGAAUGGAAUUCCUGGUGUAGCGGUGGAAUGCGCAGAUAUCAGGAGGAACACCGAUGGCGAAGGCAGUUCUCUGGGCCGUAACUGACGCUGAGGAGCGAAAGCGUGGGGAGCGAACAGG